rnacentral:tRNA from 1 species
GUGAAGGCUAGUGAUAUUACACACGAAUGAAUUUGGAUCAUUAAAUGGAGUCCGCUAAGCUCCGUCUUCACACC